rnacentral:lncRNA from 1 species
UUUUUAAUGAAUCUUGCUUAAUACUGUCCAUUAGCUGUCAUGCCCAGUCAGCAAAAUAAUUCAGUGUAGAACACGUGACUUUUUUUUUUUUUUUGGUUUUGUUUUGUUUUUUGUGAAAAAGGUUGAAUGCGGAAUUGGAGAGAUUAAUAUGGGCGUGUUGCCAGAUGUUAGAAUGACUAAGUUAAACCUUUUGAUUUUUUUUUUUUUUUCUUUUAAUUUGUCCAAGGCAGACCUGAUGAAAGGAGUAUUCCCCACCAGAAACCAUCCUGCAAGCCUGUCUGGGGUGCUGCCUUUUGACACUUUCUUGAACGGGCGUGACAGGGGUGCCGCAGAACCCGUCAAUUAAGUGAAGCGUGGGGAAGCCAAGGUUUCCCCCCAAACCUUUAAAGUGGGUUUUUGCUUGGGGUGGGUUUUUCCACCCUCUGAAUUUUUACUUUUAAAUCUUAGAUGCUGUCCUGCAGGCUGCAGGCAUGACAGGCAAUGAGCAGGCAAAGAGCCAACGGGAAAGUGUUCGAAAACUCGUGUGUUAGCUAACAAGGCUUCUGAAUGUAUCGCUGUGGUCCACAGAGAAGGCUGGAGAAGGUAGCAAGGAGAUGCUGUAUCAGCUACUACAGCCUUAAAACAAAGUUGGUGUCUCUUUGGACUUUAAAAUUGUUCCUAUGCAGCUUAUUUUAUUUUUGUUGAAUCAAAUAAACAAGAGGGUUUUUCCAUGG